AAAACAUCUGUGUUUAGUAAGGAUGUUCAAUAAGAUAAUUAAAUAUAGAUAGCUCAAGUCCUUGUGAACUCUCAGACAGGUUUUUGCUGUCAUAGGUGGUGUACUUUGGCCACCAAGUAAAAUGAAGUUUUUUCAUCAACAUAAAUAGACCUAAACAAGUCUGUCAUUUUCUGACUUAGAUAAGUCUAAAAUUGAAAACACAUUUUAUAAUAAAU
rnacentral:lncRNA from 1 species